CUAAGAAUAUUCCGCAAUGGACGAAAGUCUGACGGAGCGGCGCCGCGUGGAUGAAGAAGGCCGAAAGGUUGUAAAAAUCCUUUUGUCGGGGAAGAAUAAGCGUGGGAGGGAAUGCCCGCGUGAUGACAUGAACCGGCGAAUAACGCCCCGGCUAACUACGUGCCAGCAGCCGCGGUAACACGGUAGGGGCAAGCGUUGUUCGGAAUUACGUGGGCGUAAAGGGCAUGUAGGCGGUUUUGUAAGCCUGGCGUGAAAUUCUGCAGCUUAACUGUAGGACUGCGCUGGGAACUGCGAGACUGGAGUCACGGAGAGGGAGCCAGAAUUCCGAGGUGUAGGGGUGAAAUCUGUAGAUAUCUGGAAGAAUACCAAUGACGAAGGCAGGCUUCUGGCCGAUGACUGA
rnacentral:rRNA from 1 species